rnacentral:rRNA from 1 species
GACAGAGGGUGCAAACGUUGUUCGGAUUUACUGGGCGUAAAGCGCGUGUAGGCGGCCUUGCAAGUCGGAUGUGAAAGCCCACGGCUCAACCGUGGAAGUGCAUCCGAAACUGCAUAGCUUGAGUCUCGGAGAGGAAGGUGGAAUGCUUGGUGUAGAGGUGAAAUUCAUAGAUAUCAAGCAGAACACCUGCGGCGAAGGCGGCCUUCUGGACGAUGACUGACGCUGAGACGCGAAAGCGUGGGGAGCAAACAGG